UUUCCCCACCUAAAAAACCCUAGACCUAAUACACACAAGAAAGGAUAUACGCCUGAUAUAUUGAAGGGGAGCUGCGCAGCUUCUCAAGAGGAGACCUUCCAAUUCCCCUGUCAUCUUCUUCGACAAAACCAGACCAGCGAAAAACCAAACGGAGGUCUCUUCUCUCACGCCAACCACCACAGUCGGUGUUCCUCGUUCGAGCUGUUGCUUCGCCGGAACUGAUCACCGACGAGUGACAACGCCACUGGCACAGGUCUGGCCGGAAAUUCCAAGACGCAGCCACGAUUCAAUCAUUCAUACAAAAAAAUAAAAAUACUCUAUUUUCUUCUUGCAUCUUCGUGACUCUCAUCUCAAAAAUCAAAGGCGUCGCUUUCCGAUUUUUGUUCCAGAAUGGAGAUUGUUUGAGUUUUGAAAUCGAGUCGAGAUCAGGGUCGCCGGUGGCAUCAAAGUACUGCCCGUUGGUUUUUUGGUUUGAUUGAGGUGUCGUUCAAAGUCGGAUCGUUCGAGUACCAUCCGUUUUCAAUUUCGGCGUUAGCAGGAUGGCUUAUGUUGCUUGUGUAAUUGCUGAACACUUUCGCUAAUUGAAAGCUUGAUUUUCAGCUUCAUAAUCUAUUUUUCCCAUAUUAUUUAAUUCUAUUAGAUCUCCGUUACAUGUACUCUGUUUUACUUUCACGCCUAAGGUAUGUGAUUUCGAAUUUGUUUUGCUUGGAGAUAUUGGGAUUGCGAUCCGAUGUGAUUUUGUGAUGACUGAGUUAGUGUUCGAAUCUGUCGAGCCUCACAUGAACAUGACGUAUGUUUGAUUGGUUUUCUUGCUUGAAUUUCAAUUGAGUCGAGUUUUUGAAGUUGUCCGAACUCACUUGUCGAUGUAGAUCUUAGUGGUAAAACGACUUACUUCCUGUAUCGAGGGAAACAUUAGUGUUAGAAAAUAACCUCUCUGCUUGAAUGAAUGAGAGUGUAUUUUCCUUCAUCCGUGUAUUUGCGGUAAUCUUCGUUAAUUAAAGACCAUCGAAGGUUCAGUUCUUCUUUCCUCUUAAUGUAGUGUUUAACUAUUUGUGAAUGCAAGUAAAAUGGAAGUUGCUUGAAUUAGUUGGUCUGUUCGCUUUAUAUGUUAUCACCUCGGCUAUUUGGAUUAGAACUUGGUUUUUGAUCCAUGUAUUGGUUGUUCAAGGAGGACUCUUGUGAUUCCAGAUUGAAUCUGGAUCCUUUUUAGGUUUGUGUUUUACCGUUGUUGAGCUCCUAAGUUGAUUUUGCUUCGCUAAAUGUGAUAAAAUGUGCACAAAUGCUUAUUGAUGAACCCGCUAGAUUUCUAUUCUAUGUUGGGCUGAUUUCACCAAUUCUCAAAAUUUUCAUUGGCAUAUUCAAAUUUGAAUAGGAAAGAGAAGAAUCAUGUUGAUUUAAUUGUUGUAAAGUUAUUAGAAAGCUAGCAUUCCCUGGAUCACGGGCAAGUUGACAAAAAGUUUAUCUUAUGGUUUAGCCGACACUCUCAAUAGAAUGAAUUAGGCUAUUUGAAUUUGUUUGAAUUAAUAUGCAAAAUGUGUUAGAUCAUAUCAAAAGGGAUAUUGGAUUGAUAUAUCGGCAUGAACCUAUUUAAUUGUGUUAGCUUGGAAUUGAAUAAAUCGAGAUGCGCCGUGCUGAACAAAAAUCUCAAUUGCAUGGCUCUCACUUUAUUUAAUCUUGCAUUGAUCUUAGAUUCCGAGACGUUCCAUUUAGCAAAUUCCAUGGCCCUCGUAAAGUGCGAACACGUAGUUGCUUUAGGCGCGUGUUUAAUAAUAUUACUUUCCUAAAUUCGGGUGCACAUUUAUGUGACCAAAAUCCAAAUUCUAAAGAAGUAGAAAUGUGUCAAAAACCACGGGUGCAUUUAUGUGACGUGGUUCGAGACAUGUUUUAAUGACGUUGCAAUUCUCUUUAAAAAUACUAAUAAAAGCGGCUAGAAGUUAAAUUUGCACAUAGGUUCAUAAUUGUAUAAAAUCAGAUAAUAAGCCGAAUGUGACAGUUGAGCGACCGUGCUAGAACCACGAAACUCGGGAAUUCCUAACACCUUCUCCCGUGUUAACGAAAUUCCUUAUUCGGAUUCUGGUUUGCAGACUGUUAAACAGAGUCAAACCUCCUCAAUUCGGGAAUUAAAUCGGUGACUUGGGACACCAUUAAUUAUCCCAAGUGAAGACUCUGAAAAUCUCUUAAAUAAAUAAAUCCCAUUUCGAUUGUCCUUUAAUUGAAAAAACUCCCCUAUCUACGCCCCUUCGCGGGGUUGUAGUAUCCAAAAGGAGGUGUGACAGCCGAAAAAGAAAAUCACUGGGACAAAAGGAAAUAAAAAGCACAAAGAAAAGGAAAAGUCGAACGAGGUUCAAGAUAAAUUCCAACUUGAAUUUUAACCAUGAGAAAAACUUUGAAAAAGAUCUACCAGCCAUGGUACCUGAUAAUAGGCUAGAUUCAUGUAAUUUGGCAUCUGUUUAUGCCCCAGCUUGAUUAUGUUUUACUGUUCUAAUAUAGUUAAAUGAUGGUAAAUGAGCUCUAACUGUGAAUUUUACAUUUUGUAGGAGUGACUGGCAUGAAUGAGGACUUAAGAAUGUACUCGAAGCUAAAUUGAAGUAAGAAAAGCCCUUAGAAGUUGAGUACGUGGGAAGACAAGAGAAAGAAGAGCUAAAAUGGAGACCUGGACUAGCGCGUUCACUAACGCGACCCCGCUAGCGCAGUUAGUCGAGGCAGAAUGAUAGGUGUGAGCUUAUGAUUUUUGACCGGUCGAAACUAACUCCUACAAGACUCUUAAAGCUUAGGAUUUUCUCUUUUAAAAUAUUAGGAUUUAGACAUUAAUUGCAUAUGCAAUUGUUGCGUGUUAGGAUUAAUU
rnacentral:lncRNA from 1 species